rnacentral:rRNA from 1 species
UACAGAGGUCUCAAGCGUUGUUCGGAUUCAUUGGGCGUAAAGGGUGCGUAGGUGGCGCUGUAAGUCAGGUGUGAAAUUUCGGAGCUUAACUCCGAAACUGCACUUGAUACUGCGGUGCUUGAGGACUGGAGAGGAGACUGGAAUUUACGGUGUAGCGGUGAAAUGCGUAGAUAUCGUAAGGAAGACCAGUGGCGAAGGCGGGUCUCUGGACAGUUCCUGACGCUGAGGCACGAAGGCCAGGGGAGCAAACGGG